AUGGAGACAUUGAUUUAUGCUUUAUUCAUAUUCUUGUGGCUGCAUCUGAGCUGUGUCAGCCAAGGAGAGAAGGUGGAGCAGCAUCCUUCUACCCUGAGUGUCCAGGAGGGAGACAGUGCUGUUAUCAACUGUACUUAUUCAGACAGUGCUUCAUCCUACUUCCCUUGGUAUAAGCAAGAAGUGGGAAAAGGUCCCCAGCAUAUUAUAGACAUUCGUUCAAAUAAGGAGAUAAAUCAAAUCCAAAGAUUCAUUGUUGUGUUGGAUAAGAAAGCCAAACACUUCUCCCUGAACAUCACAGCUGCCCAACCUGGAGACUCAGCUGUCUACUUCUACUCGGUGAUCCAGACAGAAGGACAAAUGACCCUCUCUGAAGGGACUUCCCUGACUGUGAACUGUACCUAUGAAACCUCACAGUACCCAGCCCUAUUCUGGUAUGUUCAAUACCCUGGAGAAGGUCCACAGCUCCUCCUGAAAGCUGUGAAGGCCGAUGAUAAGGUCAGCAACAAAAAUUUUGAAGCUACAUAUGAUCAAGAAACCACCUCCUUCCACCUGGAGAAAGCCUCUGUCCAAGAGUCAGACUCGGCUGUGUGCAGACUAGAAUGGUUCCAUCACAUGGGAAAAUUAUCUGGGAGUUUAAAUUAA